UUUUAUUAGGUUGGUGCAAAAGUAAAACGGUAAAGGUGCAAAAGUGAAAGUGGCAAUAACUGCAAUUACUUUUGCACCAGCCUAAUAGAUGAAGAAACUGA
rnacentral:miRNA from 1 species